AGAGUUUGAUCCUGGCUCAGAACGAACGCUGGCGGCAUGCCUAACACAUGCAAGUCGAGCGAGAACCGAGAGCUUGCUCUCGGGGAAAGCGGCGCACGGGUGAGUAACACGUGGAUAACGUACCUAUUGGUUGAGGAUAACCUGCUGAAAGGCGGGCUAAUACUCGAUAAGUUCCUUCCAAGUACGCUUAGGAGGAAGAAAGCGGGGCAACUCGCGCCGAAUGAACGGUCCGCGUCCCAUCAGCUAGUUGGCGGGGUAAUGGCCCACCAAGGCUACGACGGGUAACUGGUCUGAGAGGACGACCAGUCACACUGGGACUGAGACACGGCCCAGACUCCUACGGGAGGCAGCAGUGGGGAAUAUUGGUCAAUGGGCGAAAGCCUGAACCAGCAAUGCCGCGUGAGUGAUGAAGGCCUUCGGGUUGUAAAGCUCUGUCAGGGGGAACGAAAAAAUCGAGUAACGAUCGAUCUUGACGGUACCUCCAAAGAGC
rnacentral:rRNA from 1 species